rnacentral:rRNA from 1 species
CCUACGGGAGGCAGCAGUGAGGAAUAUUGGUCAAUGGGCGGAAGCCUGAACCAGCCAAGUCGCGUGAGGGAAGAAGGCCCUGCGGGUCGCAGACCUCUUUGGACGGGGAGCAAGGCCGCCGACGUGUCGGCGGAAGGAGAGUACCCGUAGAAAAAGCAUCGGCUAACUCCGUGCCAGCAGCCGCGGUAAUACGGAGGAUGCGAGCGUUAUCCGGAUUUAUUGGGUUUAAAGGGUGCGUAGGCGGGCAUUUAAGCCGGCGGUCAAAUGUCGGGGCUCAACCCCGGCCUGCCGUCGGAACUGGGUGC